rnacentral:rRNA from 2 species
UCAACAACGGAUCUCUUGGUUCUGGCAUCGAUGAAGAACGCAGCGAAAUGCGAUAAGUAGUGUGAAUUGCAGAAUUCAGUGAAUCAUCGAAUCUUUGAACGCACAUUGCGCCCUUUGGUAUUCCAAAGGGCAUGCCUGUUCGAGCGUCAUUUGUACCCU